GACGAACGCUGGCGGCGUGCCUAAUACAUGCAAGUCGAACGCAGUGGGGACGGGUGCGUAACACCUGGGUAACCUCCCAUCAGAGGGGAUAACCGUUGGAAACAGGUGCUAAACCGAUACUGAUGGAUGGACCCGCGGUGCAUUAGCUACUUGGUGGGGUAACGGCUCACCAGGGCCACGAUGCAUAGCCGGCCUGAGAGGGUGACCGGCCACACGGGGACUGAGACACGGCCCAGACGCCUACGGGAGGCAGCAGUGGGGAAUCUUGGGCAAUGGACGAAAGUCUGACCGAGCAACGCCGCGUGAGUGAAGAAGGUUUUCGGAUCGUAAAGCUCUGUUGGUGGAGAAGCGGUACCUAACGAGAAAGCCCCGGCUAACUCCGUGCCAGCAGCCGCGGUAAUUC
rnacentral:rRNA from 1 species